UUGUGAUUUUUUUUGGGUCUUCUUCCCCUCUGGAUUACUAAAGAAAACAAGAAAUUUCUUUUUUUUUUUCUUUGAAAUCUGGAAGCGCGUGAACUUGGAGGUCAAUGUUUGGUGGGUAUUGGGUUAAUUGCACAAAUAAAUGCUGGGUUGGUCACAUAUUUGAGCACUUUUGAGCUUCUGGGUGGGCGUGUGUCGAAGGGAAUUUGAUAAUGGAGCAUGUGAUUGCUGGGAAGUUUAAGCUGGGGGGAAAGAUUAGGAGUGGGUCCUUUGGGGAGCUCUAUCUAGCCAUUAAUGUACAAACUGGAGAGGAGGUGGCUAUUAAGCUGGAAAUUGUGAAGACCAAGCAUCAAUAACCUGUUACGGAAGGAGAAAGAUCUCAAGAAGAUGGUCGAGCUUCUUGAAAAGAGUGAGAUUGAUCUUCGUAAGAUAGUGGAUCAGCUCGAGAAGGAGUUGGGGCGUCACGCACAAGAAACUGAAAUAAGGCGUUUAUAACGAAUGUAUUGGGGUUUUGCAUUAGUAGUAUUAUGUUUUUGUAUUGGAUUUUGGCUCUUGUAUUGAACUCCAGACUUGAUGUAUGAAUUUUUGUACAUCCUUAAUCGUGUUUUGUUAGAUUUCAUGGAAUAUUGUGAUGGGAAUGUUGCAGUUUUGAUAGAA